rnacentral:tRNA from 1 species
AAAUAAGAAGCUAUAAAAGCAUUUAAUUUCGACUUAAAUUUUGGGUAUAAAAACUACCCCUUAUUUG